UACGUAGGGUGCAAGCGUUGUCCGGAACUAUUGGGCGUAAAGAGCUCGUAGGCGGCUUGUCACGUCUGCUGUGAAAACUCGGGGCUCAACCCCGAGCCUGCAGUGGAUACGGGCUAGCUAGAGUGCGGUAGGGGAGACUGGAAUUCCUGGUGUAGCGGUGAAAUGCGCAGAUAUCAGGAGGAACACCGGUGGCGAAGGCGGUUCUCUGGGCCUGACCUGACGCUGAGGAGCGAAAGCGUGGGGAGCGAACAGG
rnacentral:rRNA from 1 species